rnacentral:antisense_RNA from 1 species
GCUGCUGGGAUACCGGAGGACUCGGGUCCCGGCUCGACUCAGUCUUCCAGCCGCCCGGGGAAUACCUCUAGUUCUUCCCGGCCGCCGCCGCCUCCGCCCCGCCGCUUCCUCCUCCGCCGCCGGCCUCCUUCGCCCCGCCCGUCCGCGCAGCGCGUCCGGCCCGCCCGCAGGCCAGCUUCUCUCGGGAGCCCCCACCCAGGCUCAUGGCUCCAUGAAGCAAGAGGAGGAGGCAGAGCGCGAGAGGUCCGUCCGCCCCAGCCGCGUCUGGGCCAGGAGAAAAGCAAAACCAUAUUCCUGCUGCUGUCAGUUAUGAUGCACUGAGAAAACUUCAGAGACCUAAGCUUUUUCCAGAGAAGAGAAGCUUUACUGGUGUUCCAGCCCUAAGAAACCUUUGUUCAACAAAACUGCAGAUGCUCUGUUGAAUCCACUGGAGAUUGUCCUCAUACUAAGGACAAGUAUCAACCAUCUUUCCUGUGAAAAAUUCCCUCUCCUAGUACUUUAGUUCUGUGGAUCCAAAAUUUAUAGCAUUCUUCUACCACCACAGGGGCUCAUAUGACAUUAACAGACAAGACACUUUUCAGAAAGACAGGCAACGUGUUGGACCUUCCUGAGCUUCUCAGAAGACAGAGGAUUUUCUUUUGAGGUAAAUUUGAUAGUGCAUUUUGAUAGUACAGGAGGCGAUACGGCAUGGUGACAGAAAAGCGCCAGCUUGGUUAGCAGGACCACCUGGCAGGGCUGCAGGCUGUGCCACUUACCAGGCAGGGGACUUUGGGCCAGCUGCUUGGCCUCACUCACCCUGUUUCCUCAGCUGCAAUUGGGAUGAAUAGACUGCCUGCUUCGGGGUUGCCUAAAACUCACAUUG